UACGUAGGGAGCAAGCGUUGUCCGGAAUCAUUGGGCGUAAAGCGCGCGUAGGUGGCCUCAUAAGUCCGCUGUGAAAGUCAAAGGCUCAACCUUUGAAAGCCGGUGGAUACUGUGAGGCUAGAGUACGGAAGAGGCGAGUGGAAUUCCUGGUGUAGCGGUGGAAUGCGCAGAUAUCAGGAGGAACACCAAUAGCGAAGGCAGCUCGAUGGGACGUUACUGACACUGAGGCGCGAAAGCGUGGGGAGCGAACAGG
rnacentral:rRNA from 1 species